rnacentral:rRNA from 1 species
CAGUAGCCGCGGUAAUACAGAGGGUGCGAGCGUUAAUCGGAUUUACUGGGCGUAAAGCGUGCGUAGGCGGCUUCUUAAGUCGGAUGUGAAAUCCCUGAGCUUAACUUAGGAAUUGCAUUCGAUACUGGGAAGCUAGAGUAUGGGAGAGGAUGGUAGAAUUCCAGGUGUAGCGGUGAAAUGCGUAGAGAUCUGGAGGAAUACCGAUGGCGAAGGCAGCCAUCUGGCCUAAUACUGACGCUGAGGUACGAAAGCAUGGGGAGCAAACAGGAUUAGAUACCCCCGUAGUCCCUGUCUCUUAUAA